rnacentral:rRNA from 1 species
GACGAACGCUGGCGGCGUGCUUAACACAUGCAAGUCGAACGAAGUGGCGAACGGGUGAGUAAUACGUGGGUAACCUGCCCUCCUUUUUGGGAUCAGCCUUUGAAACGGGGUCUAAUCCCGAAUACAGGGGGAUGGGCUCGCGGCCUAUUAGGUUGUUGGUGGGGUGAUGGCCUUCCAAGGCGGUGACGGGUAGCCGGCCUGAGAGGGUGCCCGGACACAGUGGGACUGAGUUACGGCCCAGAAUCCUACGGGAGGCAGCAGUGGGGGAUAUUUCACAAUGGGCGAAAGCAUGAUGCAGCGACGCCGCGUGGGGGAUGAAGGCUUUCGGGUUGUAAACCUCUUUCGCUAUAGAACGGGUAGGUGGAGAAGAAGCGCCGGCUAACUACGUGCCAGCAGCCGCGGUAAUAC